UUUCCGUAGGUGAACCUGCGGAAGGAUCAUUAUCGAGUUUUGAAACGGGUUGUCGCUGGCCUUUCACAAGGCAUUGUGCACGCCUGGCUCAUCCACUCUUCAACCUCUGUGCACUUUUUGUAGGAAAAAAAAAUGGGUUUGAAGCUGAUGCAAGUCAGUAGAUGCCUAUUUUCUUUCCUAUGUUUUUAUUACAAACGCUUCAGUUAUAGAAUGUUUACUUGCAGAUAAUGCAUUUAUAUACAACUUUCAGCAACGGAUCUCUUGGCUCUCGCAUCGAUGAAGAACGCAGC
rnacentral:misc_RNA from 1 species